UGUAGAGCAUGACAGGUCAGCUCUAUUAUAUCUGAUUGGUAAAGGAGACUAGUUUCUGUCAUGUUGGCAAGUUAGUUUUUAUAUAAUAGAGUUACCCUGCAUGACUGAUGGUAGCCUAUUGGGUGUCACAGUGGAGAUCGGUAGAGGCAAGUCAACUCUGAAAGUCCCAAAGUGUCCCAGUCAGUUUUCAACUCAAGGGUCACUUCAAUUUUCUUUGUAACCAACCUCAGUAAUCAGGCACAGGGCUACAUACACAACACCCUUAACGAGUAGUUAAGCAUUAGGCUGGGAGAAUAUAUAAACAGUCAGGAAAUAUCAUCACCCCAUACACAAUCUUAAAAUACAGUCAUUCCUGGUUCUCAUCUGCCCACUAGCCUACACACACACCAGUUUGUAAACACCCAGUGGCUGAAGGAUGGAGUCAGGUUACAAAGGACCUGAAGCCCCUGGCCUCCAUUCUCAUCUCAGCAGUAGCUUCGCGGUCAGCUCCUCCCUCUACCUCUGACCUCCAUGGAGCCCUGUGGUCCUCAUCCAGAACACUUGCUCCUCCAUUGUUCCGGGAAGAGUGUCCUCACAUGACAAUGCCCAAGUGUAGAGAGGUUUUGUGUUUUUGUUUUUGUGGUGUUGUUUUUUAAUGUCUGUGACACACAGAGCCAUCCCUCUCAGACAGCAAAGAGGGGUUACAGAAAGAGCUUGGGGUCUGCUACUGAUAGAGUCCUGGGAUGUCAGCUCUAAGCAGAGUCCUUGCAGCCCAGGAGGGGAUUUAGACCGGACAGAGGAAGAGUGUAGAGGAAACAGCAAAACUCAUUUCUUCCCUGGGAAGAAUCAGUAGCUGAAGUGAAGGUUUCCCUUAAUCUAGAGUUGAAAAUCCUAGCGCAUUCCCAAGCCAGGACUGGAUGAAUGAUCUCACAAGGUCUGCAUCAAAGAGAGACCUUGGUGCAGGCGCUUGGGGGAGGGCUGGAGACUCAGUUUACAUCUUUCCAGAUGUGAGCCACAGUACCCCAGUAAAAGUGCUGUCCUUUCCAAACAUCAAAGGAACCGAAAGGGAAUCUUCUGGCUAAAUCCCUGCCAGGUGUCCUGGAACUGACUAGAAGCCCAGCCCAGGAAUCAUGGGUGGAAAGCGGCGAUUCACUAUAGACCACAGUCUUUGGGGGCGCCCACCAGAUGGCUCUCUGAUGUCCAGGAUGCCCUUGAAACAGCUGCCACACGCCGUCCUCUUUGCUUCAGCCUCCUUGAUCUGGCCUCCUGGUGCCCUUCCCAUCUGCCACCCCCGAGGUACAGGGCCUGGAGUUACUUGCUUCCCAUGAGCCCCCGCGGCAGCAGCCGCCACAGAGGUCAGCUGUGGGCAGAGAUGGAGCAAAGGCAGUAGCAGGAACUUGGCUGAGUCCAGAGGCCCACAAGGCCAAGCAGCACUGGACCUGGUUACGACUGCCUGAGAAGAAAACCAGUUUCCACCGCUUGUGCUGGAGUCUGGGCUGCGGGAUUAGGAUAUUCAAAGACCGUGAAAGAGGACUUCAGUGCUGAGCUCAGACGUGAUGUGGAUGAGUAUCCACUCUGAACAAGGCAAGCUGCUAAGAUGUUCAAGUCAAGGGCAGCCUAUGGAGCCUGCCACGUCUCCCAUUAAGCCAGAUACCAUACCAUGGUGACCCUCUCGGGCACUGCUAAAAGAACCAGUAGACCAAAAUCUGGACCGAGGGACGUGUUUCUUUUCAUGGAUCCCCUUGCCGUUCUUCGUUUUCCAUAAGGACACGGAAAGAAGAAACCGGUGGCCGCUUCUGUCUUUUCAGUGAGGGUUCUUGCUACACAAAUCUGUGGAGUUCUGAUGGUCCUCCCUGAUUACCAGAGGCUUGAAAGAGAUAGUGGGCCUACUACGUGUAAGGGCUGAACUAGAGCCAGUGGAUAAGGGGCUGGAAUAGGGACCCUAAGGGACUGGAGGCUGUGGGUAAGAGUGUAGGAUCCUAGGAUGAGAGGGCUGGAAGCUUCUACUCAUUUCCUAGAACCUUUGGUGAGACAUUGAGUUUUUACAGAUAUACAGACAUUCCCAAAUUAUGUGUAAGGGUGUUUUUUUUUUUGAGACGUUUGAGAAGUAUAAUGCAAUUAAAAUAAAAAUGGAUUUUUAA